GAGAGAAAGACUAACUAAAAAGGAAGAAAGGAGGGAGGGAAAAAGGAGAGAAGCAAGACGGAGACAAGAAUAGAUAUUUGCAUAACGAGACGCCGAUAAAUCAAUCUAUUCACGGGAGAAGGGAAUCUCUUAGCGAAACGUCGACCGGAAUAAACAGGGAAGACGAGAAAGGUGAAACGUGAUUUCGUUUCGAGACCCGUUUCGAUCAUUUCUGCGGAGGAUUCAUGCUAAUUGGCCGGUUGAGAUCGCCGGUUGAAUAUUCAGCGAACGGACAUAAAUGGGGAGAAAAGUGAAGAAGGCAUAGGCAAAAGUGAAACGGUAACGUCACAAGGUUCAAAGAAAAAUGCAAUCCUGCCGCAAAAGGUCACGAAAUAAAUAAUGCCGAGUUGACGAGUAGCCAGAGAUUUCUCCGGUCGAGCCGAGCCUAAUUUUCAAAAAACUGGAGAGGAAAAUAUCUAUGGAUCGGUAAACGGUUGCAAAAUAAUUUCACCAUCGAGGCCCAAAAACAUUGACCCGAUGAAACGAGGGUUUCGCAGUGUCACGGGCAACAAUUGCCAAACCUCCUCGUCGAGGUUUCUCCACGUUUGACGAGGAAUGACAAACAUCGCUGCGACUCGACUCGAUUGUUUAUAAUUCGUGGAUUACGUAACGAGAAAGCGCGUGCACAUUUUCUGCAUCGGUUGCUUGCGUCACGCGUCACAAUUCGUGGCUCUCCACCUCGCGAAAAUCUCAUUUGCGAUCCGAGCAAACAGAGCAUGGCGCGUGAUCUAUUUCGUUUCCCUUUUGCGCAUUUGUUUACGAUGUUCGAACGAUGAUGGCUCAUUGAGAAAUCGGUUUCGAGAUGUAUCGCUUCGCUUGUAAGCCGAGCCUUUGCGGUUCUACAAACACGAGAUGAGUUUCCCUAUGUGUGUGUUAAAUGA